CGCGCCCUUAGCUCAGUUGGAUAGAGAACGACCUUCUAAGUCGUGGGCCGCAGUUCGAAUCCUGCAGGGCGCGCC
rnacentral:tRNA from 1 species